UACGGAGGAAGUGGGAUGACGUCAAAUCAUCAUGCCCCUUAUGACCUGGGCUACACACGUGCUACAAUGGUUGGUACAACGAGUUGCGAGUCGGUGACGGCGAGCUAAUCUCUUAAAGCCAAUCUCAGUUCGGAUUGUAGGCUGCAACUCGCCUACAUGAAGUCGGAAUCGCUAGUAAUCGCGGAUCAGCACGCCGCGGUGAAUACGUUCCCGGGCCUU
rnacentral:rRNA from 1 species